GAUGAACGCUGGCGGCGUGCCUAAUACAUGCAAGUCGAGCGAACAGACGGGGCUCUUGCUCCUCUGCCGUUACCGGCGGGCGGGUAAGUCACACGUGGAUGACCUACCUAUAGGACUGGGAUCACUUCGGGGAACCGGAUCUCGUACCGGAUAAUAUGUUGAACCGCAGGGUUCAUUGGUGAAAGCCGGUUUUGCUGUCACUUAUACGUGGUUCCAGGCCGCAUUAGCUAGUUGGUACGGUAACGGCUUACCAAGGCUACGAUGCGUAGCUGACCUGAGAGGGUGAUCGGCCACACUGGAACUGAGACACGGUCCAGACUCCUACGGGAGGCAGCAGUGGGGAAUCUUCGACAAUGGGCGAAAGCCUGACCCAGCAAUGCCGCGUGAGUGAAGAAGGUCUUCGGAUCGUAAAACUCUGUUAGUAGGGAAGAAGAAAAGUGUGAUUAAAUAUGCCUGUCUUGACGGUACCUACACAGAAAGCAACGGCUAACUACGUG
rnacentral:rRNA from 1 species